rnacentral:rRNA from 1 species
UACGUAGGGUGCAAGCGUUAAUCGGAAUUACUGGGCGUAAAGCGUGCGCAGGCGGUUUUGUAAGUCUGUCGUGAAAUCCCCGGGCUCAACCUGGGAAUUGCGAUGGAGACUGCAAGGCUAGAAUCUGGCAGAGGGGGGUAGAAUUCCACGUGUAGCAGUGAAAUGCGUAGAGAUGUGGAGGAAUACCGAUGGCGAAGGCAGCCCCUGGGAUCAACACUAGGACG